ensembl:lncRNA
CUAAGAAGUAGAACAGGGAGAAUAGGCCUGUUUGUAGAAAGAGUGGUCAGGGAAGACUACCUAGAGCAUGAAGGAUGAGAGGGUGACAGCCAUGAAAAAAGCAGAAAAAGCAUUUUCUGGACAAAGGGCACAGCAUCUGCAAAGAUCCAGAGGUAUCCUUCCUACUGAUGACUCACUGAAGCCAUGAGACCCUGAUGGUAGAGUGGAGAGAAGUCCACUUUUCUGAGAUCCUAUGCAUUAGCCAGGACAGAUGGGACCAGGUCAAGUGUUCUCCAGGCAUUUUACCAGUAACAGAGAAUGACUGGUGAGUUCAUAGUACUCUAAAUCCUAUAACACUCUUUAAAAGCAUAGUCAACCCUGUGCUGAUUGGAGGCCAGCAGAUUGAAGGGCCAUGGA